rnacentral:rRNA from 1 species
GGGGUGUUAGGGCACGACACCGGAGAGGGAGCCUGAGAAACUGCUACCACAUCCAAGGAUGGCAGCAGGCGCGCAAAUUACCCAAUCCCGACACGGGGAGGUAGUGACAAUAAAUAACAAUACGGGGUUCUUUAGGAUCUCGUAAUUGGAAUGAGUACAAUUUAAAUCUCUUAACGAGGAACAAUUGGGAGGGCAAGUCUGGUGCCAGCAGCCGCGGUAAUUCCAGCUCCAAUAGCGUAUAUUAAAGUUGUUGCAGUUAAAAAGCUCGUAGUUGAAUUUCGGGGUUAGUAGGUUGGUCAUGCCUCUGGUAUGUACUGGUCUCACUGAUUCCUCCUUCCUGAUGAACCUUAAUGCCAUUAAUUUGGUGUUUUGGGGAAUUUGGACUGUUACUUUGAAAAAAUUAGAGUGUUUAAAGCAAGCUAACGCUUGAAUACAUUAGCAUGGAAUAAUGAAAUAGGACGUUCGAUCCUAUUUUGUUGGUUUCUAGGAUUGACGUAAUGAUUAAUAGGGAUAGUUGGGGGCAUUAGUAUUCAAUUGUCAGAGGUGAAAUUCUUGGAUUUAUUGAAGACUAACUACUGCGAAAGCAUUUGCCAAGGAUGUUUUCAUUAAUCAAGAACGAAAGUUAGGGGAUCGAAGACGAUCAGAUACCGUCGUAGUCUUAACCAUAAACUAUGCCGACUAGGAUCGGAUGAUGUUAAUUUUUUAAUGACUCAWUCGGCGCCUUACGGAACA